CCUACAGGAGGCAGCAGUGGGGAAUAUUGCACAAUGGGGGGAACCUUGAUGCAGCAACGCCGCGUGGGUGAAGACGUACUUCCGUAUGUAAAGCCCUUUCAGCAGGGAAGAAAAUGACGGUACCUGACCAAGAUGCCCCGGCUAACUACGUGCCAGCAGCCGCGGUCAUACGUAGGGGGCAAGCGUUAUCCGGAUUUACUGGGUGUAAAGGGAGCGUAGACGGCAAGGCAAACCCGGAGUGAAAGCGCUUGGGCCAACCACGAGAGUGCUAGGGAAACUGUGUUGCUGGAGUGCAGGAGGGGUAAGCGGAAUUCCUAGUGUAGCGGUGAAAUGCGUAGAUAUUAGGAGGAACACCGGUGGCGAAGGCGGCUUACUGGACUGUAACUGACGUUGAGGCUCGAAGGCGUGGGGAGCAAACAGGAUUAGAUACCCGAGUAGUC
rnacentral:rRNA from 1 species